rnacentral:rRNA from 1 species
UACGUAGGGGGCAAGCGUUGUCCGGAUUUAUUGGGCGUAAAGAGCGUGUAGGCGGCCUGAAAGGUCAGCUGUGAAAACUCGAGGCUCAACCUCGAGACGUCGGUUGAAACCAUCUGGCUAGAGUCCGGAAGAGGAGUGUGGAAUUCCCGGUGUAGCGGUGAAAUGCGCAGAUAUCGGGAAGAACACCCGUGGCGAAGGCGGCACUCUGGGACGGUACUGACGCUGAUGUGCGAAGGCUAGGGGAGCGAACAGG